rnacentral:rRNA from 1 species
GACGAACGCUGGCGGCGUGCUUAACACAUGCAAGUCGAGCGGAGCGGCGGACGGGUGCGUACCGCGUGAGUAACUGCCCCCCUCUCUGGGAUAACAGUUGGAAACGGCUGCUCAUACCGGAUAGUGGGGGAUGACUCGCGUACUAUCAGCUUGUUGGGGGGGUGGGGGCCUACCAAGGCGACGACGGGUAGCCGGCCUGAGAGGGCGACCGGCCACAUUGGGCUGAGAUACUGCCCAAUCUCCUACGGGAGGCAGCAGUGGGGAAUAUUGCACACGGGGGGAAACCCUGAUGCAGCAACGCCGCGUGCGGGAUGACGGCCUUCGGGUUGUAAACCGCUUUCAGCCAUGACGCGGUAGUGGCAGAAGAAGCACCGGCUAACUACGUGCCAGCAGCCGCGGUAAUUC